UUUGGAACAUAACUUCAACUGAUAGUCUGACAAGCCUCUACAUACUAAGACUAGAGAGUCACUGGGACAAAUCCCCAACUGACUCAACCGGACUGAAAAGAAAAAAAAUUAACUACUAUAAAGACUGAAAACAAGGGAUUAGAUCCUUGAACCAUGAGGACUCACCAAUUGCUGACGUAUAGAUAAAGGUACUCGAAGAUCACUGUCACUGCUGAGAUUGAGCACCUGAACCUACAUUAUGAGACAAUGUAGCACACAGACGUAUAUAUGGAUCAGUACUUUGAGGAUGUACUGAGUAUAUAGGGGUGUAUGCAAUACUUAAAACAACAAUAUCAUCAAUCUUUAUAGAAAUCAUGCAUGCUGAUAUAACUGACUCACAUAGCUUGAAUAAUCUCAAAAAAAUGUAUAUCUCAUAAAUUAUGAAUAAUAAAAUGCAUAGUAUAAAUCUCGUGAGUCAAUAUACUAUUUCUAAAAUCUGUAGUUCUAUUCCCUUCUCAAAACAUAUAGACUAAGUGGUAAAGUGCUCACCUCUGAAUCUGAGAGCUAAGACUGUAAUUUUAAAACUAAAAUAUAAAGUAAAACAUUAAUUGAAUAAGUUUGUGAGCCUUUACACUUAGUAUCUAAAAAUUUUUACUGACCAGGAUAUCUUUCAAAGAUUUAGGGAAAAUAACUCAUCUCAAGAAACAUACUUUACUUUAGAAAUUGAUUAUUUACUCUUACUAGCAGGGAGGUUCUCUUAACCGACAUACACUAUGCGAGUAAUAUGGAGUCCAGCAUUUUUUCCUCUUAAGGAAAAAACCUCACGGUUGUCACACCCCUUUUUUGCUCGAAGGAGUCGAGUCGAAGGAUUUUUCCAAUUAAAGUGACAGUAUUGAAUAGGGAUUAUUUUAAUUAUAGAGUCGCCACUUGGAAUUAAGUUAUGGUGUUCCAAGUCACCUAAUUGAAGUCCUAAUCAAAAGGAAAUGACUCUUUAUUUUGGUCUGCAAAAAUAGAAGACCGGAUAAGAAAUUCUAUUGACCGAGGGGAAGGUGUGAGGCACCCCUCGAGUCCCGUGGUUCUAGCACAGUCGCUUUUAUUAACUUAUACUUAACUAUUUUGAUAAAUUGUAUUAAGACCUAAUUUCGCUCAUUUUAUUAUACCGAAAACUUGUGUAUUAAGUAAAUCAGUUAAUUUUAGAAAAUAUUUGUCAAGGUGCAUUAUUGCAUCCUUAAAAUUUUAAAUGUCUCAAAAAGAUGCGUAUUCCGUAUUCUUAUUUGAUACGAAUAUAUAUUAAAUAUGUUUAAAAAUUAUCUAGUAUUAUAAGCGUUAAUUUACCAAUUAUAAAUUCAUAAAAAAUUUAUUUAUUUAAAAUGCUACUUAAUUUUAAUAGUAUUCCUAAAUAAUAUUUAAUUAAAGAAAUUAAUUAAUUUAACAAAAUAAUUACCAAUUUUUAUUAUUGACAAGGAAUAAACAAAAUAAGUAAUUACAAUACAAUAGAAUAAAAUAAAUAUAAACUAUCCACAUCUAUUUUUUUUUUAAAACAAAAGUUUAUUUUAAAAAGGCUCAAUAACUUGACAAAAAUUAAAGCAGAUCUACGCAUAUUUUUCUCUUGACUUGAAAAAGAAAAGGGCGCUGUUUUUUAAGCCAUGAUGGCUGGUUGUAGGAAAGAGGACGGUGACGCUAAUGGCUUCGUAGGUGAGAUGGUUGGUUGUAGGAAAGAGGACGGUGACGCUAAUGGCUUCGUAGGUGAGAUCUAAAUGGGAAAAAUGGAGAGAGGAUGGCGGCGGUGACCGGUGAACGUGGGUUCACCAAAAGGAAAGGAGAAAUAGAAGUGGUAUUGGUUGGUUCCCGAUGAUUUUUGCUGUUUUUGAGAGGAAUUUUCUGGCGGUUUGACCAGGCAGCCCGCUGGGUUGGUUAUCGGCGAGUUUCGUCGAUGGUGUUGGUGAUGGGAAAGGGGAAGGGGUAGCUGGCGAUGGUACGGUGGUCACAGGAGUGGUGGUUAACUGUUUUGAGGGUAGGGAAGGUCGGAACAAUGAUGGGAAAAUGGAGAUCUGCUCUAGUUUCAGGCAACAAUGCCUUUCCCGACAAAGAUUCGCCGGAGCAGUCCCCGGCGUUUCACUUUUCCCUCUUCACUCAAAUUUCAUAUUUUUGAUUUUCAUUUUUUUAGCAAGAUGGAUAUACCGGAUUUAAUGACGAAAUGGUAAUUCCGGCAAAGUUUCGCCGGAAGUUCAGAAUUAUGCGAACUAAUUUGGCUCUCGUUAAUCUCUGAUUUUUCUAUUUCCACGUAGUAUGUAUGGUGUAUAAAUAAAAUGGAGGCCUAUGUACACAAAUGUGUGUAACAGUGUAUGUGAAAGUCUUAUAUUCUUAGUGAUGGAUGAAAGUGUAUGUGAACGUGUGCAUUAUUGGUGAAUGUGAAUAUGCAGUGAACACAAAUUGUAACAAGUUUAUUUUCUUUUCUCCGCUAUUUUCUCUGUUCGGAUUUUAACUUAGCAGUAUGUAGAUAAAAAUUCAGUAAUUUAAUAUGCAAUAUAAUAACAUAUACAUCCACUUAAUAAAUCAACAAUACUUCAUGAACAAUAUAUGAAAAUUACUUCAACAUCUUUAUUCAUAUAUGAUUCAUAAUAAAGUUUAUGCAAUAAAGGAUCAUAAUGAAAUCUGUGUUAAAUUGAACAGAAACACAAAGUCGUCACCGAAAUCUUCAAGUGAAAUUUUGAAUCUCCACUCUUUCUCUCCUUUUUUUGAUAUUUUUUUUUUUACUAUUUAUUUUUUACUAAUUUUUUUUUAGUGACUGAUAGAAUAGUGUCUGACCCUCAAAAUACGUAUGUAGAGAAUCCUUAAAUAAAGGAUUUAGGGGGGAACGGUUACUUUUUGGGGGGAAAUUAAUUAGCUGAUACAGCAAAGGGGAGGAAAGAUUUAAAAUUUAAAUUAAUAAUAAUCUAAUUUUUAUUUAUUUAUUUAUUUAAAAAUAGAAAGUAAUAAUAAUAAUAAUAAUAAUAAUAAAUGAAUGAAAAUACUAAUAAUAAUGAUUAUAUAUAUAUAUAUAUAACAAAAAAUAAUAAAAAUUUAAAAAUAAUAUUUAAACUACUAAUUAUUUAUUAACAUUUAGAAAACAAAAAAAAUACAAUUUUUGAAUUUUUGUAUUAAUUUCAAAAUUAGAAAAACAUGACUGAUAAUAUUUUUAGGAAAAACACUUAUUUAAAUUGACUUUAUCAAAAACUUUAUAAUAACAGAUCUCUAGACAAUUUUAACUAUAUAUUUGGAGACAAUACCCCCUAAAUACACUUAAAAGGAACAAAAUAAAAUAAAAUAAAAUGACUUAGAAAAGAAGAAUGAUUGUUUUAUGUAUGAAGUUGUAUAAAAAUUUCAGCCUCACGACCCCUAAAGGUUCAGGACUGUUAAGAUUUAUAUAUAUUUUAUUUUGUAAAACUUAGCCUCAUGAUCCCUAAAGAUUCAGGGCUAUAUAUUAAGAUAUAUAAAAAUUAGACAGAAUUAAAAAAAUAAUCAUGAAAGUAAUCAUAUUUUCAAAAUAUUCCCCAAUAAGUCAAUGAAUAAUUUUCAAAAGAUAGGGUCGUAUCCUGAGAAGAACUUCCUACGUAUCCCACUAAGAUGUGAGAAUCAAACCCUCGUAGUUCAUGAAAACCAUAAAACUAUGUUACUAAAAAUUUUCUCUUUUAAAAAUAAUAAUUUUCUUUCAAAAAUGAUUCACUAAAUGUGACGAUAAUUUAAUCUCUGGCAUUUUAAUGUUGCCUAAAAGCCGGUCAACACACAAAUAGCCUUCUAAACAAAUGUCAAAGAGCACGUAGGAUGCACAUGUUGGUCUUUAUAAAGUAGGUUACCUGUCCUAGACAGACUCGGCCCCUGUGCCGAGUCCCGCUAAGUCAAAUACAUAUGUUGCAAAUAAAGCGGCACCUAAUAGGGAUAACCAGAUUCUGAGUUUUCAGUUUUUCUAAGUUUAAACCUAAUAGGGAUAUGUGCCUAGAAUGACUUACCGAGCGAACACUCGAGCCGGGGAGGGAUAACUUGGUCGAUAGCAGGGUAACACCACCUUUAUUGUCGAUCCGAACCCUGCCUAACAUGUGUGACUAUAUCCUUCAUUACGUGCCUUGACACUCCGAAUAUCUUAAAAAAAAUAGGAUGCAUGCGCUGCAUUCCUUCUAUCCUAUUUCAGAGACUCAGAGAGGGUGCGCAAAAGAAGACAGUAUAUAAUACAGUUCAAUCAAUAUCAAAGCGGUAAAUGAGCGACAAGUAGCACAUAAGGCCAACAAGCACAAUAUCAAUAGUAAUUAAAGCAAGUAUAAGUUAAUAAAAAGCUCAAAUUCUUAUUAUUCCCCAGCAGAGUCGCCAGAGAUGUCACACCCCUUUUUCGCUCGAAAGAGUCGAGCCGAAGGAUUUUUUCAAUUAAAGUGACAGCAUUGAAUAGGAAUUAUUUUAAUUACAGAGUCGCCACUUGAAAUUAAGUUAUGGUGUUCCAAGUCACCUUAUUGAAUACCCAAUCAAAAGGAAAUGAUUCUUUAUUUUGGUCUGCAAAAAUAGAAGAUCGGGUAAGAAAUUCUGCUGACCGAGCGGAAGGUGUGAGGCACCCCUCAAGUCCCGUGGUUCUAGCACAGUCGCUUUUAUUGACUUAUACUUAACUAUUUUGAUAAAUUGUAUUAAGACCUAAUUUCUCUCAUUUUAUUAUACCAAAAACUUGUGUAUUAAGUAAAUCAGUUAAUUUUAGAAAAUAUUUGUCAAAGUGCAUUAUUGCAUCUUUAAAAUUUUAAAUGUCUCAAAAAGAUGCGUAUUUCGCAUUCUUAUUUGAUACGAAUAUAUAUUAAAUAUGUUUAAAAAUUAUCUAGCAUUAUAAACGUUAAUUUAUCAAUUAUAAAUUCAUAAAAAUUUUAUUUAGUCAAAAUUCUACUUAAUUUUAAUAGUAUUCCUAAAUAAUAUUUAAUUAAAGAAAUUAAUUAAUUUAACAAAAUAAUUAACAAGUUUUAUUAUUGACAAGGAAUAAACAAAAUAAGUAAUUACAAUACAAUAGAAUAAAAUAAAUAUAAACUAUCCACAUCUAUUCUUUUUAAAAACAAAAGUUUAUUUUAAAAGGGCUCAACAACUUGACAAAAUUUAGAGCAGAUCUACGCAUAUUUUUCUCUGACUUGAGAAAGAAAAGGGCGCUAGUUUUUAAGCCAUGAUGGUUGGUUGUAUGGAAGAGGACGGUGACGCUAAUGGCUUCGUAGGUGAGAUCUGAACGGGAAAAAAGGAGAGUGGAUGGUGGCGGUGACCGGUGAACGUGGGUUCACCGAAAGGAAAGAAGAGAGAGAAGUGGUAUUGGUUGGUUCCCGAUGAUUUUUGCUAUUUUUGAGAGGAAUUUUUUGGCAAUUUGACCAGGCAGCCCGCUGGGUUGGUUAUCGGCGGGUUUCGCCGAUGGUGUUGGUGACGAGAAAGGGGAAGGGAUAGGCGGAGAUGGUACGGUGAUCACAGGAGUGGUGGUUGACUGUUUUGGGGGUAGGGAAGGUAGGAACGAUGAUGGGAAAACGGAGAUCUGCUCCAGUUUCAGGCAACAAUGCCUUUCCCAGUAAAGAUUCACUGGAGCAGUCCCUGUCGUUCCUCUUUUCUCUCUUCACUCAAAUUUUAGAUUUUUGAUUUCCAUUUUUUUUAGCAAGAUGGGUAUAUCGGAUAUAAUGACGAAAUGGUAAUUCCGGCGAAGUUUCACAGGAAGUUCAGAAUAAUCGAACUAAUUUGGUUCUCGUUACUCUCUGAUUUUUCUGUUUGCAUGUAGUAUGUAUGGUGUAUAAAUAAAAUGGAGGCCUAUGUACACAGAUGUGUGUAACAGUGUGUGUGAAUGUGUUAUAUUCUUAGUGAUGGAUGAAAGUAUAUGUGAACGUGUGCAUUGUUAUUGGUGAAUGUGAAUAUGCAGUGAACACAAAUUGUAACAAGUCUAUUUUCUUUUCUCUGCUAUUUUAUCUGUUUUGAUUUUAACUUAGCAGUAUGUACAUAAACAUUCAAUAAUUUAAUAUGCAACAUAAUAACAUAUACAUUCACUUAAUAAAUCAACAACACUUUAUGAACAGUAUAUGAAAAUUACUUAAACAUCUUUAUUCAUAUAUGAUUCGUAAUAAAUUUUAUGCAAUAAAGGAUCAUAAUGAAACCUGUGUUAAAUUGAACAGAAACACAAAGUCGUCACCGGAAUCUUCAAGUGAAAUUCUGAAUCUCCACUCUUUCUCUCCUUUUUUUGAUAUCUUGUUUUUUAC
rnacentral:lncRNA from 1 species